rnacentral:lncRNA from 1 species
AAAAAUAUAUAUGACUAUUUUUAGCUGACAUGGUCCAAAGGGCCUGUUUGAACUAUUGCUGUCACAUGGUUCUAUCAUUCAUCACCACAUGCACCUAAAAGAUAUGUUUUCCUCUUGAGUAACUGUUCAGUUUCUACUAAACUUUUAGGAAAUUACUAUAAUUGGUCCUUUUCCACAAUAAAGCCUUACGGACCAAAUAUUGAUAAAUGUUUUUCCCUUGAAAGUUAUCAUAGAACCAAGAUCACUGGUUAUCAUGAUUGCCUUUGUAAUCACAAUAGAGUUUUGAUAUGUAACUCCCUAAAAGGAUCUUUUUUUCUGAAAUCAAAGAGCUGUUUUCUUCAAACAGUUGUAAAAUGACUUUUUCGACUUGUUGCCCUUUUAGGUAUUGAUUCAGACGUAUUAUCUUCCACAACUGAGUGAUUUAACAGUUUUAAGUUCCAUUUUCGAUUAAGAGAUAAGAUCAAGAAAAUGAAUUUAAUGUAUCCAAACAAAAGGGUGUUUUGGACUGAAAAUAUAUUUACCAGAUAGGAAUUAGUCUGCAGUGGCUUUUCUGGUUUGAUUGCAAUCUGUCAAUAUUUUUUUUUGUGUAAGUGCAUGCGUGCUUAGUUUUAUCAGCAUAUUUUUGGGAAAAGUUUAUGUAUGAAUAUUUCUCAUAUGAUUUGCAUAAUUAUAAGAAUCUCUUACUAUAUAAUGAUUGGUUAGAAGACCUUGUCAUGUAGUGAUAUUUUGGCAGAUUUUUAUUUUUAUAGAACUUGUUUUCCAGACUACGUUCUUUACCAAUAUAUUCAAAAAUGACUAAUUACCUGUGAUGAUUUCAUAAUCAUACUUGGAAUAUGCAGAGGUAUAUAUAUAAUGUAUAUAUAAAAAAAAUAAUAAGGAUCACCACACGUUGUUUGUUUAUGGGUGAAUUGGUCCAGUUUACACACCAAUUAACUUAAACUGCAGAACAAAAUGUGUUUUAUCCUAUUAUGAUAUAUGUUUAAAAACAAAUAGGAGUUGCCUGAUCAGAUAGCACUAUAGAAUGGAAUAUUGGUUACAAGUCAACUAUACCAGUAAAGUUAAUUAUAAAAACUUUUUACCUGUCAUCAUUUAAAUCUUUUAAAUGAUGGUAUUUAUUAUCUCCCUUUGAUGGAGGAUAGAUCAUAGGUGAGCAACUUAUCCCAUCAUCCUAUACUUAAACAAAAAUGAAAGUUACUUUAUGGUCAGAUAUUACAUAGGCGGAUCCAGGGGAGGGACCUGCUGCCCCCCCUUUUCAUUAGAAAAAUUUAGUUGAUUAUACAGGGAAUCACUGGAGCAUGCCCCCUUAGGUCAGUAAGCAGGCCUUCCCUUACAAAAAGUUAUGGAUUCGCCACUGGAUAAUAUGUUUUUGUACAGCAUAAGAAUUUGUACUAUGCAUGCUUUUGAUAAUGGAAAUUGUGACUUCACAAUGCAUUCUUAAUACACUAAAACCCAUGAGACAAGGCACAAUGCAUUCUUAAUAGCACUAAAACCCAUGAGACAAGGGUAAUAAUUGAACAAAUGAAAUAAUUAAAUCUUACAUCAUAAAUGUAUACAAAAACAUAAUGUUAUGUAUGACUGCCACUAGUAACAUGUUUAUAUAUAUACUAUUUUUUAAACAGUCCCCAUAAAAAUUUGAUAAAAUGUUGAACAAACAAAUGGUGCAGAAAAAAAUAUAAGAAGGGUUUUUGCCAUGAAUACAAAAUUGCAUGCCAUAGCACUUAUUUACGACUUUUUGUGCAGUGUACAAAUAUUAUUGUUUUGCUGACUUUACAAAACUUAAAAGACAAUUUUAAUAGAAUAAAAGUUAUUUGUACUAGAUGAUUAUAUUUUACAUGCUUUGUUAGAAUUUUAAACUUUUCCUAUUUUUAUAUUGAACAGAUCUAUAGAUAUAUCGAUCUCUUUUAAAGUAGCAGCAUAUAAUGAUGUUGAUUGUCUUUCUAAUUUUUUUAAACAUUCUAAUUCUCUUACAUACAUUAGCAUGGUUAGAAGAUAAAUUUACUCAUAUAUUUUUUGUUUUAAUAUUUUAUUUCCUUAUAAAGGAGAAUUUUUCAUUUUUAUGUUCGUAUGUUAUUUGUAUAUAUUAUUGUUACCUAGCUUGGACGAAAUUACGGAACGUAGCAAAUUUCUUGCAGUCAAAAAUUGAUUGUAUAUUUGUAUAUCCCCCCUUUUUGUAAAUAUAUUGUAAAAGUCCAUUGUAAAUCCUUUAUCUGAUAAAGGUACAUGUUGUUCUUAAAAGAAAACACUGUGUUAUUGUCUUUGUUAAUAGUAUAUGUAUUGAUGUUAAACAUCUUAAGGUUAUUUAUUAUUGAAAAUGAUUUCUUUGACAUUAUAUAUUCUAUUUAUAGUUCAUCUAUAUAUAGAAGUUUUAAAACUUUUGGUUGUUAUAUUGUAUACAAUGUAGUGCUAUUUAUGUUUGUUAUAAAUUUUGUAUUUCUAUAUAUAUAUUAUUGGAUCCAAUGUUGAUAGAUGGUUUUAGAAGCUCAUUUUGAUGAAGUUAAACUAGAAAAUGAGUCAAAAAAUGAUUUAUGUACAUACUUGUAUGUAUAUACCAGUUAUAUAUUAGAUCCUUAACAGUAUAUUACUUUUGAAAUCGGCUGAUUGCUCGAAACUUGGAAAAAUUCAAAUUGUCAUGAGUUUUUAUAGACAAAUAAUGAGACAGUCGAUUACAGUGAACAAAAAAUCUUAAAGAAAAAUCACAAACAUUAAGUCAUGGACAGAGGCGGAUUUAGAGGGUUUUUCAGGCCUCCCCCCCCCCUUUUUUGGAAAAAAAAUGGAUGAUUAUACAAGGAAUCUCUGAUGCAUUACUCGAGCAGCCCCCUUUUAUGCAGUAUGUGGGCUCCCCUUAUGAAAAUUUCUAGAUCAGCCACUGAUGAAAACUACAAUAUAACUAAGAAUGAAGUAAUUAGUUGACAGAGUUUUAUUGAAAAAAAAAUAACAGAUCUGCUAACAAUGUGGUCAUCCAUUUGUUGUAUUGUACGAAAAAAAAUAUUUAUAUGAAGAAAGUCUAGUGAUCUAAGUAAGUUGAUGAAGUCAAAGAUUUUAUAAGAUUUUUUUAUACUACAGGCAUGUUGUUGUCUUUCUUAGUCUGAUUUCAAAAGUAAUAUACAAUUGUAUGAAAGAAUGGCAAAACUAUGUAAUAGAUUGUUUUUGUACAGUAAUUUAUUUGUUUAUCUAUAGUGCUGAAAAUUAUCUUCAAAAGAUAAAUGUAACCUGCUUUUACUGUAAAUAAUGGUGUAAAUGUAUAGCUACAGUAAAAUCUUUAUAUAGUCCUAUUUUGUGUUCCUUGUACAAAUGAAUGAAAGGACCUAGUAUUUUGGUUGGAGCUGAUUUUGAAUCAGUCACACCCAAAUGUUUAGUUUGAAAUUAUUUAUGAUAUCCAAAUAUUAAUCUACAACUUUGUUUCAAAGAGAGCUAAAUUUCGAAUGAGUUCAUGGAUUUAGGUUUAAAAAAAAACAACAUAUUUUUAGCUUUGUUUUAUUUGUGCUUUGGUUCUUGUAACUCCCAGAUGUUAUAAUAUUUUUUACAUUAUAUAGGUCUGGGUUAAACUUCUCUUUGAAAAUCAUACACGUAAAUUGCAUUUCCCUUGAUAAGAUUAUAGUUCAUAAAAAUUAGUUUUGUUUUCAAUUACAAAGCUAAAUUGGCUGUAGCCAUCAGAAAUACAGAACACCAUAUAUAAAUUGAUAUAUAUGAGGGUAGUAAUGGGGGUACCUUCAUGACGAAUAACGGUAAAAAUUCUUGCCAAAUGACGUUAACGGUCAUUUUUGGUGCAUGACGAUAAAAUUAAAAUGUACACUUUCUUUUAGACGUUAAACAAAUCGACUGAUUUUGACGAAUCACGUUAAUUUUUUUCCAAAAAGGAUGGUAAUGAUGUUAUUUGAGACCUCUGGUCAAUCAUGUAAGAAUAUUUUGACUAAUCACAGUAAAAUUUUAACCAAUAGGACGCUAACAGUAGUCGAAAAUGAUCGUUUGACGCCUGACGGUAAAGGGCAUUACUUUAACCCUCAUAUAUGUGAUAUGCAUAUAUCAAUAUCACAGCUAUACAUAAUGCAUACAUAAUUAUCAUUGACAAUGUCUAUUAGACAUAUUUUGGAUGUUCAUUUCACGUUUCUAUUAUGAACCCACUGAUUCUUAGCCCCAUUACUUUCUUUAAAUAUGUUAAAUUUGAAGCAUUCAUAUCUAAUUUGUCUCGUGGUUUGCCCUCAAAAAUAUAAUAUACCUUUGAUAGCAUAUCCCAUUAUAAUCACACUGGUUCUGGGAAGUUUGGUCUUACAAAAAAACAGGUAUGUCUGAUCUGAGAAACAGGCAAAAUAUGAUGCAUUACAUUAGUUUUAACUUCUGUAUUUUGUUUUUAUCAUUACCUAGAGAGAUAUAAUGAUACUUAAAAAAAAAUUAUGCUCCUUAAAUAAUUGUUUAAAGAUGUGUUUCUGAAAUUAACCAAUAUUUCUUAGACAUUGAUUUUUUAAUACCGGUGAUGUCGCUUUAAAAGUUUUGACUUUAUAUCUGGAUUUUACUGUACUGUUGGAAGUGCUUUAUACUGUCACGUUAGUUUAUAUUUUUAUGUGUACUGGAAAUAAUGCUACUGUGGAUAUUAUUAUUUGUUGGCUACAAAUUUAUUUUUUGGUUCUAGGGAAGAGGUGAACCACAAUUUCAAAUGUUCAACAAAGUUUUCUAUAGGCUUUGUAUGCAGAGAUUGACCAAACCAUGAAAACAAAAAUCCAUAUGAAUGUAUAUUUCCUCAAUCCCUGAAAAACUGGUACCCACAAAAAUGAAUCAACAGUACCAGUUGUUUAAAUUUUACAAAUGAAAAUAAACCCAACAUUUUAAUACAGAUAAAUUAGUUGUAUGAUUAAUUACAUUGAAUAUGUAGAAAAAUUUGAACAAAUUAUUCUUAAAAUUUACGCAUGACUUAAUAUUACAAACAAGAUGACACUCAGAAGCCAAAGUAAAAAAAACAAAUAUCCCUUUUGGAGAUUUAAUUUAAAUAUAGAGUCUUGUAAUGUUAACAAAAAUUUAAAGAGAAAAAAGUAUUAUAAAUUGUAAGAUUAAUAUUUGAUGCAUAUUAAUCUGUUAUUGGUAUUUAUCACUCCAAGAAAAGUAUCAUAUUCAUAUUUUGAUAUCGUAAAUAAAAAGUAUAAAUUUUUCUCUCUUCUUGUUCAUCAAUCAUUAUAGUCUUCUUUUUAAUUUGAGGAAUUUUAUUAAAUUAAGGAGAAAGGGAAAAUAUUAUAACCUAUAAUGAGAGAGUUGUUUCAUUGGCAAUCAUACCUCAUCAUCUUAUUUUUAUAUUGAAGGCAGUUGUACUGCUUUUUUUCUCAAUUAAUUUUAUUAUUUAUUUAUUUCUUAGCAGAUUUUAACCUAAAAAAAAAAAUUUCAUGUUAUUUGACAAUAAAAAUUGUUUCUUUUGGUAAAUAACACUAUAUUUCAUUGUAAAACACUUUAUCACUACAGAAUGUAUGAAUUUUUGUGAAAAAAAGUUCAGGUUCUUGGUAGACAAGUGACUCUUUUAUUAAUUAAGAUUAUUUGAAAAAAUACUUCUGUACGAAAUAAUUAUUUCCGUUUGUUAUGUUACUAUGGUUAUUGAUUGUUUGUGUUAAUGUUUGCUUGUCUGAAUGUAAGAAAAUAAUAUUAGAUCUAUUACAG